rnacentral:rRNA from 1 species
GACGAACGCUGGCGGCGUGCUUAACACAUGCAAGUCGAACGAGUGGCGAACGGGUGAGUAACACGUGGGUGACCUGCCUUUCACUUCGGGUUAAGCUUGGGAAACUGGGUCUAAUACCGGAUAGUGCAAGAUGAGCUCGCGGCGUAUGAGCUUGUUGGUGGGGUAAUGGCUACCAAGGCGCGACGGUUAGCCGGCCUGAGAGGGUGUACGGCGACAAUGGGACUGCGAUACGGACCAGAGGCGUACGGGAGGCAGCAGGGGCGAAUAGGGCACAAUGGGCGGAAGGCUGAUGCAGCGGCGCCGCGUGGGGGAUGAAGGCCUUCGGGUUGGAAACUCCUUUAGGCAGGGAAGCGGUACCUGUAGAAGAAGCACCGGCUAACUACGUGCCAGCAGCCGCGGUAAUAC